GAAAGGAGGGUGUACUGUAGUCUCACUUAAAUCAAUUGGUAUGCAUGAGCCAUCCGAUUUAUCUCGCACCACUGAUGGGUCCGCUAACACAACUGUCCCUUCUUUCCUCACUGAUCCAUGUGUAUCCCUCCCAAAGCUGAUUUCUAUUGGAAGAGGGCAACCUUCCCCAUAGAAAGAAACAGAUGUUUCGCAAAGUGUAUGAGAAUAGCUGCCCUCUUCUAACAGAACCUCUAAAGAAGCUUUCAUUGAAUCCAGAUGGCCUAACUCUAAGCAUCUGUUGGUACAAUGUAAAUGAUAACCUGGAAUAUAGC
rnacentral:sRNA from 1 species